GGGUGUGAUCAUACCAUUGUUAAUGCACUGGAUCCCAUUAGAAAUCCACAAUUAAGCGCGCUUGGGCUAGAGUAGUACUGGGAUGGGUGACCUCCUGGGAGGUCCUAGUGUUGCACCCU
rfam:Picea glauca, whole genome shotgun sequence.